GAUGAAGAACGUAGUGAAAUGCGAUAAGUAGUGUGAAUUGCAGAAUUCAGUGAAUCAUCGAAUCUUUAAACGCACAUUGCGCCCCUUGGUAUUCCAUGGGGCAUGCCUGUUCGAGCGUCAUUUGUACCUUCAAGCUUUGCUUGGUGUUGGGUGUUUGUCCUGAGGGACUCGCCUUAAAGUAAUUGGCAGCCAGUGUUUGGUUUUGAAGCGCAGCACAAGUCGCGAUUCAAGGCUAUACACCAGCUUCCACAAGCCUUUUUCACUUUUGACCUCGGAUCAGGUAGGGAUACCCGCUGAACUUAAGCAUAUCAAUAAGCGGAGGA
rnacentral:misc_RNA from 1 species